UACAGAGGUCCCAAGCGUUGUUCGGAUUCAUUGGCGUAAAGGGUGCGUAGGCGGCGCGGUAAGUCGGGUGUGAAAUCUCGGGGCUUAAACUCCGAAACUGCAUUCGAUACUGCCGUGCUUGAGGACUGGAGAGGAGACUGGAAGUUUACGGGUGUAGCGGUGAAAUGCGUAGAUAUCGUAAGGAAGACCAGUGGCGAAGGCGGGUCUCUGGACAGUUCCUGACGCUGAGGAGCGAAAGCGUGGGGAGCGAACAGG
rnacentral:rRNA from 1 species